rnacentral:rRNA from 1 species
GACGAACGCUGGCGGUGUGCUUAACACAUGCAAGUCGAACGGUAAGGCCCUUUCGGGGGUACACGAGUGGCGAACGGGUGAGUAACACGUGAGUAACCUGCCCUCAUCUCUGGGAUAACAGUCGGAAACGGUUGCUAAUACUGGAUAUGAGCUUGCAAGGCAUCUUGUGGGUUGGAAAGAUUUUUUUUGGUUGGGGAUGGACUCGCGGCCUAUCAGCUUGUUGGUGAGGUAGUGGCUCACCAAGGCUUCGACGGGUAGCCGGCCUGAGAGGGCGACCGGCCACAUUGGGUCUGAGAUACGGCCCAAACUCCUACGGGAGGCAGCAGUGGGGAAUAUUGCACAAUGGACGGAAGUCUGAUGCAGCAACGCCGCGUGCGGGAUGACGGCCUUCGGGUUGUAAACCGCUUUCAAUUGUGACGAAGCUUUUUUGUGACGGUAGCAGUAGAAGAAGCACCGGCUAACUACGUG